rnacentral:misc_RNA from 1 species
GAAAAGGGAUGCACUCACGACUGUGUAAGUUGCAACCAUCUAGCACUUUACUGGUAACUUAACCUUGAUGAUGUGUCUUCAUUCUGGUUAUGCUUGUAUCUUGUUGUGUGUUUUUUCCAAAAAUGGCUGUAGCUCUUUAAUUUCUUAAACUGCAUAGUUUCUGGUACAGAAAUUUACCAUUUUUUUUCUUAUAUUAACUCUAUUGAAUGCGCUUGAAAAACAGAUCUCCGAGUCUUGAAUGAGUAUC